UAAUCGUAUGUGUACCAAGUUCGUGUAUAUUUUGUGUAAACGUCCGAAAACGAGGGCCGAACCUAUUGAACUCUGCAUGAUAUGCCUAGGUGCCUGUACCUAUUAUUAGUAAGUACAGUAAAAUUUCCGUCAUGACACAAUGUAGGUACCUACUUAAUAAUAGUGUUGGAUAGGUGUACUCAUAGAGCUAUAAACAUUUAUUAUGAGGUCUAUGGGUGUACCUACUUCCUAGGAGAGUGCUAUAUUAUAAUACGUAGGUAGGUAAAAUAAUUCCUUAACAUUUAUUUUUGAUAAUAGUUUAAUUUUAUUCGUGUUUUGUUUUCAACAACCGUGAACAUUAAAUACACAAUUAAUAAUCUACUAAUAUGCAUUGCAUAUUUUACUUCUUUAAGAAUAUA